GGGGGGAGGGACUGAGAAGUUAAGGUAAAGGUACUUUAUUGUCACAUACACAUACAUGUAGCGAAAUUCAUUCUCUGCAUUUAACCCAUCCCUCAACGGAGCAGUGGUCAGCCAUUUACAGCGCCCAGGGAACA